rnacentral:rRNA from 1 species
CCUACGGGAGGCAGCAGUGGGGAAUUUUGGACAAUGGGCGAAAGCCUGAUCCAGCCAUGCCGCGUGCAGGAUGAAGGCCUUCGGGUUGUAAACUGCUUUUGUACGGAACGAAAAGGUCUUUUCUAAUAAAGAAGGCUCAUGACGGUACCGUAAGAAUAAGCACCGGCUAACUACGUGC